AACGAACGCUGGCGGCAGGCCUAACACAUGCAAGUCGAGCGAGGACUUCGGUCCUAGCGGCGGACGGGUGAGUAACGCGUGGGAACGUGCCCUUUGCUACGGAAUAGCCCCGGGAAACUGGGAGUAAUACCGUAUGUGCCCGAGAGGGGAAAGAUUUAUCGGCAAAGGAUCGGCCCGAGUUGGAUUAGGUAGUGGGUGGGGUAAUGGACUACCAAGCCGACGAUCACUAGCUGGUUUGAGAGGAUGAUCAGCCACACUGGGCCUGAGAAACGGCCCAGACUCCUACGGGAGGCAGCAGUGGGGAAUCUUAGACAAUGGGGGAAACCCUGAUCUAGCCAUGCCGCGUGAGCGAUGAAGGCCUUAGGGUUGUAAAGCUCUUUCAGUGGGGAAGAUAAUGACGGUACCCACAGAAGAAGCCCCGGCUAACUCCGUGCCAGCCGCCGCCGUAA
rnacentral:rRNA from 1 species